GGUAGUCCUAGCCGUAACGAUGGAUGCUAGGUGUUGGCGGACUUAACCCUGCCAGUGCCGAAGCUAACGCGUUAAGCAUCCCGCCUGGGAAGUACGAUCGCAAGAUUAAAACUCAAAGGAAUUGACGGGGACCCGCACAAGCAGCGGAGCGUGUGGUUUAAUUCGAUGCUACACGAAGAACCUUACCCAGAUUUGACAUAUAGGUGGUAGUGAACUGAAAGGGGAACGACCCGCAAGGGAGCCUAUACAGGUGUUGCAUGGCUGUCGUCAGCUCGUGUCGUGAGAUGUUGGUUUAAGUACCCUAACGAGCGCAACCCUUACUGCCAGUUACAAGUGUCUGGCGGGACUGCCGGCCACAAGCCGGAGGAAGGCGAGGAUGACGUCAAGUCAGCAUGGCCUUUAUAUCUGGGGCUACACACACGCUACAAUGGGCAUCAACAAUGGGUAGCCAAGCCGUGAGGCGGAGCCAAUCCUCAAAACUGCCCUCAGUUCAGAUUGCAGGCUGCAACCCGCCUGCAUGAAGUCGGAGUUGCUAGUAAACGCGCGUCAGCCAUAGUGCGUUGAAUACGUUCCCGGGUCUUGUACACACCGCCCGUCACACUAUGGGAGCUGGUAACACCGAAG
rnacentral:rRNA from 1 species